GGAAGGGUGCAGGAGUGGUUGAUCUGGUCGCUCUCGAAAAGCGAUAAGACCGCAAGGUCUUCGAGGGUUCGAAUCCCUCCUCUUCCGCCA
rnacentral:tRNA from 3 species